ACUCAAAUGAAUAGACGGGGGCCCGCACAAGCAGCGGAGCGUGUGGUUUAAUUCGACGCAACGCGCAGAACCUUACCCAGGCUUGACAUGGCCACGAAAGCCCCGGAAACGGGGUCCUCCGCAAGGACGGGGUCACAGAUGCUGCAUGGCUGUCGUCAGCUCGUGUCGUGAGAUGUUGGGUUAAGUCCCGCAACGAGCGCAACCCUCGCUGCCAGUUGAUUUCUCUGGCGGGACCGCCGGGACAAACCCGGAGGAAGGUGGGGAUGACGUCAAGUCAGCACGGCUCUUACGCCUGGGGCUACACACACGCUACAAUGGCCGGUACAGAGGGCAGCGAUAGCGCGAGCUGGAGCAAAUCCCAAAAAACCGGUCUCAGUUCGGAUUGCAGGCUGCAACUCGCCUGCAUGAAGUCGGAGUUGCUAGUAACCGCAGGUCAGCACACUGCGGUGAAUACGUUCCCGGGCCUUGCACACACCGCCCGU
rnacentral:rRNA from 1 species